UACGUAGGUGACAAGCGUUGUCCGGAUUUACUGGGCGUAAAGAGCGCGCAGGCGGUCGAUCAAGUCGAGUGUGAAAGCCCCCGGCUCAACUGGGGAGGGUCAUUCGAUACUGAUCGACUCGAAGGCAGGAGAGGGUAGUGGAAUUCCCAGUGUAGUGGUGAAACGCGUAGAUAUCGGGAGGAACACCAGUGGCGAAGGCGACUACCUGGCCUGUUCUUGACGCUGAGGCGCGAAAGCUAGGGGAGCAAACGGG
rnacentral:rRNA from 1 species